ensembl:lncRNA
GUCAUCGGCCCAGCUGAAAAUAGGCAACAGCCUCCGUGUGUGCGAGUCAGAACAGAGAUGGCAUUGCACGGCCUGUCCGGGGACAAAAGACUAAUUCUUAGUAUUGUUAGAAAGAGUGACUGCCAUGGUACAAUCUGCUACUGUGCAAACUCCUCAGAAGCUGCACAGAAAAUACAGUAAAUAAUACAGGCAUCCAGCGAGCACUGGACCCAGCACCACUCCAACUCCAGCAGCAGCCCAGCGUUUGAUCAGGAUUAAGAGGACUCCUGUUUUGAUGACUGUGGUGAUAAAUUUGGUGGCAUGAUGAGUGGCUGACAUAAGACCUAUAUGAAUAUGGACUUCUGAAAGUUGCCCUCCCCCCAUCUCUCUCCAUCCUGGUGCAUCAAUUCUCUGGGAAGAUUAGGUGCAUCUUCUCCCACUGAGGACUGUCAUGGCAGACCUCUGCUACAUAUGUGCCUUCGACCAGCCCAAGUAUGUUUUCAGUUGGGCUCAGUCUCUGAGAGCUACCAGGAAUUCAGCUCAUAAUAAAGAAGGAAAAUGCAGACUCAAUUGGCUGACAAGUUUCUUUACCUAUUCAAAUGGUUAUUUUUGGAGUCUAAUUGUGGAGGAAAAGGUUUGAGAAGAAUCCAAGAAACUGUGAGACCUGGUUCGGAAUUCUGCUGUACACAGUCAAGGUACCUUCGCCAGAAUCCCAGGAGCAUCUGGAGACAUGGUGGAUGAAUC